rnacentral:rRNA from 1 species
UACGUAGGGUGCAAGCGUUGUCCGGAAUUAUUGGGCGUAAAGAGCUCGUAGGCGGUCUGUCGCGUCGGCUGUGAAAACCUGGGGCUUAACUCCGGGCCUGCAGCCGAUACGGGCAGACUAGAGUUCGGCAGGGGAGACUGGAAUUCCUGGUGUAGCGGUGAAAUGCGUAGAUAUCGGAAGGAACGCCGGUGGCGAAAGCGAUCGACUGGACCUCUUCUGACGCUGAGGCGCGAAAGCCAGGGGAGCAAACGGG